rnacentral:rRNA from 1 species
CCUACGGGUGGCAGCAGUGGGGAAUAUUGGGCAAUGGGCGCAAGCCUGACCCAGCAACGCCGCGUGAAGGAAGAAGGCUCUCGGGUUGUAAACUUCCUUUAUUAGGGACGAAGCAAGCGACGGUACCUGAUGAAUAAGCCACGGCUAACUACGUGCCAGCAGCCGCGGUAAUACGUAGGCGGCAAGCGUUAUCCGGAUUUACUGGGUGUACAGGGUGUGUAGGCGGGAAAGCAAGUCAGAUGUGAAAACCAUGGGCGCAACCUGUGGCCUGCAUUUGAAACUGUUUUUCUUGAGUACUGGAGAGGCAGACGGAAUUCCUAGUGUAGCGGUGAAAUGCGUAGAUAUUAGGAGGAACACCAGUGGCGAAGGCGGUCUGCUGGACAGCAACUGACGCUGAGGCGCGAAAGCGUGGGGAGCAAACAGGAUUAGAUACCCCGGUAGUC